rnacentral:rRNA from 1 species
UACGUAGGGGGCAAGCGUUGUCCGGAUUUAUUGGGCGUAAAAGGCUUGUAGGUGGCCACGCCAAGUCGGAUGUGAAAUCCCCCGGCUCAACUGGGAGGGGUCAUUCGAUACUGGCGGGCUCGAGGCCGGUAGGGGGAAGUGGAAUUCCCGGUGUAGUGGUGGAAUGCGUAGAUAUCGGGAGGAACACCAGUGGCGAAGGCGGCUUCCUGGACCGGUUCUGACGCUGAGGCACGAAAGUGUGGGGAUCAAACAGG